UGUUGCCCACUCUGCCCCAGCCUACUACGGCUACGGCGUUGGCUCCCUCGGCUACGGUGCCGGCAGCUACGGUUUCGGCCACGGUCUCCUGGGCUAUGGCCUGAACUACGGCUACGGUCUUGGUUCUCCUCUAAACUACGCCACCCUCCUCCGCAAGAAGAAGUAAAUUUGCGUCUUCUCUACCGUCGGAUCCUACCGAAUCUGCAAAUGCAUGGAGCAGCUUGUUUCAAGCUUUCAAUCAAGUAUAUUGGUUGUGGCCGUGUAAUAAACUGUUCUGUCGAAAA